CAGUAGCUACUCUAUAAAUCCUGUGCUGUAUAUUACAAGAUGUUAGCCUCCUUCUGUCUCCAUCCAGGAACCACAACAUGUCAUUACCUGAGACUUAAAGAGAGAAACGAUAAGCAAUAGCUUGUUAUCCCCCUCCAGGGAAGAUAGGGAGGAAAACAGGAGACUAAAAAGAUUUUGCAUGGGUCCCCAGAUACUCCAAAAGUUCUACAGCUGCACCAUUGAGAGCAUCACUGCCUGCACCAUCGAGAGCAUCACUGCCUGCAUCACUGCCUGGUAUGGCAACUGCUCUGGCAUCUGACCAGAGGGUAGUGCGUACGGCCCAGUACACCACUGUGGCCAAGCUUCCUGCAAUCCAGGACCUAUAUAAUAGGCAGUGUCAGAGGAAAUCCCAUAAAAUUGUCAGAGAUUCCAGUCCCCCAAGUCAUAGACUGUUCUCUCUGCUACCGCACGGCAAGCGGUACCGGAGCGCCAAGUCUAGGACCAAAAGGCUCCUUAACAGCUUUUACCCCCAAGCCAUAAGACAGGUGAACAAUUAAUCCACCGGACUAUUACAUUGACCUCCCCCCAUUUGUUUUGUACACUGCUGCUACUCGCUGUUUAUUAUCUAUUCAUAGUUACUUCACCCCUACCUACAUGUACAAAUUACCUCUAACAUGUACCCCCACACACUGACUCGGUACCGGUACCCCCUGUAUAUAGUCUCAUUAUUGUUAUGUUAGUGUUACUUUAAAAAAAAAUGUUUACUUUAGUUUACUUGGUAAAUAUUUUCUUAACUCUUCUUGAACUGCAUUGUUGGUUAAGGGCUUGUAAGUAAGCAUUUCACGGUAACUUGUUGUAUUCGGC
rnacentral:lncRNA from 1 species